rnacentral:rRNA from 1 species
AACGAACGCUGGCGGCAGGCCUAACACAUGCAAGUCGAGCGCGCCCUUCGGGGUGAGCGGCGGACGGGUGAGUAACGCGUGGGAACGUGCCCUUUUCUACGGAAUAGCCUCGGGAAACGGAGAGUAAUACCGUAUACGCCCUUUGGGGGGAAGAUUUAUCGGAAAAGGAUCGGCCCGCGUUGGAUUAGGUAGUUGGUGGGGUAAUGGCCUCCCAAGCCGACGAUCCAUAGCUGGUUUGAGAGGAUGAUCAGCCACACUGGGACUGAGACACGGCCCAGACUCCUACGGGAGGCAGCAGUGGGGAAUCUUAGACAAUGGCGGCAACCCUGAUCUAGCCAUGCCGCGUGAGUGAUGAAGGCCUUAGGGUUGUAAAGCUCUUUCAGCUGGGAAGAUAAUGACGGUACCAGCAGAAGAAGCCCCGGCUAACUCCGUG